AUACAGGGGGUUCGAGCGUUAAUCGGAAUUACUGGGCGUAAAGAGUACGUAGGCGGUUGCUUAAGUCAGAUGUGAAAGCCCCGGGCUCAACCUGGGAACUGCAUUUGAAACUGGGUGACUAGAGUUUAAGAGAGGGGAGUAGAAUUCCGGGUGUAGCGGUGAAAUGCGUAGAGAUCCGGGGGAAUACCAGUGGCGAAGGCGGCUCCCUGGCUUAAAACUGACGCUGAGGUACGAAAGCGUGGGUAGCAAACAGGAUUAGAAACCCCGGUAGUCC
rnacentral:rRNA from 1 species